GGUUAAGCGACUAAGCGUACACGGUGGAUGCCCUGGCAGUCAGAGGCGAUGAAGGACGUGCUAAUCUGCGAAAAGCGCCGGCGAGGUGAUAUGAACCCUUGACCCGGCGAUGUCCGAAUGGGGAAACCCAGUGUGUUCCGACACACUAUCGUUAACUGAAUACAUAGGUUAACGAGGCGAACCGGGGGAACUGAAACAUCUAAGUACCCCGAGGAAAAGAAAUCAACCGAGAUUCCCCCAGUAGCGGCGAGCGAACGGGGAGCAGCCCGGAGUCUGAAUCAGCUUGUGUGUUAGUGGAACGGUCUGGAAAGUCCGACGGUACAGGGUGAUAGUCCCGUACACGAAAACACACUUGCUGUGAACUCGAAGAGUAGGGCGGGACACGUGGUAUCCUGUCUGAAUAUGGGGGGACCAUCCUCCAAGGCUAAAUACUCCUGACUGACCGAUAGUGAACCAGUACCGUGAGGGAAAGGCGAAAAGAACCCCGGCGAGGGGAGUGAAAAAGAACCUGAAACCGUGUACGUACAAGCAGUGGGAGCACCUUCGGGUGUGACUGCGUACCUUUUGUAUAAUGGGUCAGCGACUUAUAUUCUGUAGCAAGGUUAACCGUAUAGGGGAGCCGAAGGGAAACCGAGUCUUAACUGGGCGUUAAGUUGCAGGGUAUAGACCCGAAACCCGGUGAUCUAGCCAUGGGCAGGUUGAAGGUUGGGUAACACUAACUGGAGGACCGAACCGACUAAUGUUGAAAAAUUAGCGGAUGACCUGUGGCUGGGGGUGAAAGGCCAAUCAAACCGGGAGAUAGCUGGUUCUCCCCGAAAGCUAUUUAGGUAGCGCCUCGUGAACUCAUCUUCGGGGGUAGAGCACUGUUUCGGCUAGGGGGCCAUCCCGGCUUACCAACCCGAUGCAAACUACGAAUACCGAAGAAUGUUAUCACGGGAGACACACGGCGGGUGCUAACGUCCGUCGUGAAGAGGGAAACAACCCAGACCGCCAGCUAAGGUCCCAAAGUCAUGGUUAAGUGGGAAACGAUGUGGGAAGGCACAGACAGCCAGGAUGUUGGCUUAGAAGCAGCCAUCAUUUAAAGAAAGCGUAAUAGCUCACUGGUCGAGUCGGCCUGCGCGGAAGAUGUAACGGGGCUAAACCAUGCACCGAAGCUGCGGCAGCGACGCUUAUGCGUUGUUGGGUAGGGGAGCGUUCUGUAAGCCGUUGAAGGUGUGCUGUGAGGCAUGCUGGAGGUAUCAGAAGUGCGAAUGCUGACAUAAGUAACGAUAAAGCGGGUGAAAAGCCCGCUCGCCGGAAGACCAAGGGUUCCUGUCCAACGUUAAUCGGGGCAGGGUGAGUCGACCCCUAAGGCGAGGCCGAAAGGCGUAGUCGAUGGGAAACAGGUUAAUAUUCCUGUACUUGGUGUUACUGCGAAGGGGGGACGGAGAAGGCUAUGUCAGCCGGGCGACGGUUGUCCCGGUUUAAGCAUGUAGGCGGAGGUUCCAGGUAAAUCCGGUACCUUUUAACGCUGAGGUGUGAUGACGAGGCACUACGGUGCUGAAGUGAUAAAUGCCCUGCUUCCAGGAAAAGCCUCUAAGCAUCAGGUAACACGAAAUCGUACCCCAAACCGACACAGGUGGUCAGGUAGAGAAUACCAAGGCGCUUGAGAGAACUCGGGUGAAGGAACUAGGCAAAAUGGUGCCGUAACUUCGGGAGAAGGCACGCUGAUAUGUAGGUGAAGUCCCUGCGGACGGAGCUGAAAUCAGUCGAAGAUACCAGCUGGCUGCAACUGUUUAUUAAAAACACAGCACUGUGCAAACACGAAAGUGGACGUAUACGGUGUGACGCCUGCCCGGUGCCGGAAGGUUAAUUGAUGGGGUUAGCGGCAACGCGAAGCUCUUGAUCGAAGCCCCGGUAAACGGCGGCCGUAACUAUAACGGUCCUAAGGUAGCGAAAUUCCUUGUCGGGUAAGUUCCGACCUGCACGAAUGGCGUAAUGAUGGCCAGGCUGUCUCCACCCGAGACUCAGUGAAAUUGAACUCGCUGUGAAGAUGCAGUGUACCCGCGGCAAGACGGAAAGACCCCGUGAACCUUUACUAUAGCUUGACACUGAACACUGGUCCUUGAUGUGUAGGAUAGGUGGGAGGCUUUGAAGCGUGGACGCCAGUCUGCGUGGAGCCGCCCUUGAAAUACCACCCUUUAAUGGCUGGUGUUCUAACGUAGACCCGUGAUCCGGGUUGCGGACAGUGUCUGGUGGGUAGUUUGACUGGGGCGGUCUCCUCCCAAAGAGUAACGGAGGAGCACGAAGGUUGGCUAAUCCUGGUCGGACAUCAGGAGGUUAGUGCAAUGGCAUAAGCCAGCUUGACUGCGAGCGUGACGGCGCGAGCAGGUGCGAAAGCAGGUCAUAGUGAUCCGGUGGUUCUGAAUGGAAGGGCCAUCGCUCAACGGAUAAAAGGUACUCCGGGGAUAACAGGCUGAUACCGCCCAAGAGUUCAUAUCGACGGCGGUGUUUGGCACCUCGAUGUCGGCUCAUCACAUCCUGGGGCUGAAGUAGGUCCCAAGGGUAUGGCUGUUCGCCAUUUAAAGUGGUACGCGAGCUGGGUUUAGAACGUCGUGAGACAGUUCGGUCCCUAUCUGCCGUGGGCGCUGGAGAAUUGAGGGGGGCUGCUCCUAGUACGAGAGGACCGGAGUGGACGCAUCACUGGUGUUCGGGUUGUCAUGCCAAUGGCACUGCCCGGUAGCUAAAUGCGGAAGAGAUAAGUGCUGAAAGCAUCUAAGCACGAAACUUGCCCCGAGAUGAGUUCUCCCUGAGACUUUAAGUCUCCUGAAGGAACGUUGAAGACGACGACGUUGAUAGGUCGGGUGUGUAAGCGCAGCGAUGCGUUGAGCUAACCGAUACUAAUGAACCGUGAGGCUUAACCUU
rnacentral:rRNA from 1 species